rnacentral:rRNA from 1 species
UACAGAGGUCUCAAGCGUUGUUCGGAUUCAUUGGGCGUAAAGGGUGCGUAGGCGGCGCGGUAAGUCAGGUGUGAAAUUUCGGAGCUUAACUCCGAAACUGCAUUUGAUACUGGCGUGCUUGAGGACUGGAGAGGAGACUGGAAUUCAUGGUGUAGCAGUGAAAUGCGUAGAGAUCAUGAGGAAGACCAGUGGCGAAGGCGGGUCUCUGGACAGUUCCUGACACUGAGACGCGAAAGCGUGGGGAGCGAACAGG